CAAGACUCUACUCUGUCCCCUUCCAUCCCAUCGCAGGGCAGGUUCAUUGCUCUCCUUCUUCUAAGGGAGCUUUUUUUAGUUCGCUGAUACUCUGACCCCUAAAGCCCAGCUGACCCUGAGGGACUGCCUUUUCCAUGGCUGGCAAAUUUCGAGAGAUAGUAGACAGUCUGCCUAUGAACACUUGGAACAGCACUUUAAACCAAACAAUUCAGAGCCCAUGAUCCCAUCACCUCUUCUGCUGGGAUGUCACACUCGGUGCCACUCUUCCCUUGCUCUAAU